rnacentral:rRNA from 1 species
GACGAACGCUGGCGGCGUGCUUAACACAUGCAAGUCGAACGGAAAGGCCCUGCUUUUGUGGGGUGCUCGAGUGGCGAACGGGUGAGUAACACGUGAGUAACCUGCCCUUGACUUUGGGAUAACUUCAGGAAACUGGGGCUAAUACCGGAUAGGAGCUCCUGCUGCAUGGUGGGGGUUGGAAAGUUUCGUCGGUUGGGGAUGGACUCGCGGCUGAUCAGCUUGUUGGUGGGGUAGUGGCUUACCAAGGCUUUGACGGGUAGCCGGCCUGAGAGGGUGACCGGACAAAUUAGGAUGGAGAUACGGCCCAGACCCCUACGGGAGGCAGCAGUGGGGAAUAUUGUACAAUGGGCGGAAGCCUGAUGCAGCAACGCCGCGUGGGGGAUGACGGCCUUCGGGUUGGAAACCGCUUUCGUCUGUGACGAAGCGUGAGUGACGGUAAUGGGUAAAGAAGCACCGGCUAACUACGUG